CAGUCGCCACGGGAAUACGAAGGGUGCAAGCGUUAAUCGGAAUUACUGGGCGUAAAGCGUGCGUAGGCGGCUUCUUAAGUCGGAUGUGAAAUCCCUGAGCUUAACUUAGGAAUUGCAUUCGAUACUGGGAAGCUAGAGUAUGGGAGGGGAUGGUAGAAUUCCAGGUGUAGCGGUGAAAUGCGUAGAGAUCUGGAGGAAUACCGAUGGCGAAGGCAGCCAUCUGGCCUAAUACUGACGCUGAGGUACGAAAGCAUGGGGAGCAAACAGGAUUAGAUACCCGUGUAGUCCCUGUCUCUUAUAA
rnacentral:rRNA from 1 species